AUGAUAUCCUCACCUCAAGGAUGUUCACAGAAGCCAAAGUCACGGGUGAAGUUCUGUUGCAUAAAGAGGGCAGAAAGGGACCCCCUUGAUAGAAACUUCGCCGGCGCGUCUCACCCCAAACGCCGACCACAUCCCCAGCUCACGAGGACUGGAGGACCGAGCGCCGCGCAACGCCAGCGCGCCUCCAGCCCCGCGCUGACACCGCCCCCAACGCCCGUCUCCCGCCCCCGCCGGGACCCGACCCCCCCCCCCCCCCCCCCCCCCCCCCCCGGGGCCCCCCCACGCCCCCGCCGGGCUGCGCCCCCAACGGCCCGUUUCCCGCCCCCCCACGGCCCGUCUCCCCACCCCUGCCGAGACCCGCCCCUCACCGCCCCAUCUCCCGCUUCCGCCGGGACCCGCCCCCACGGCCCCGUCUCCCGCUCCCGCCGGGACGCGCCCUCACGGCCCCAUCUCCAGCUCCCGCCGGGAUGCGCCCCCCACGGCCUGUCCCCUCGCCCCCGCUGGCACCCGCCCUCCUCCCACGGCCCGUCUCCCGCCUCCCGAGUGGCGGGGCCGCACCUGGAGCCGCUGGGCGGUGGCCGAGGCCGACGCCGAGAAAAGCCGGGCGCCGUUACAGGGGCGGGGGCCGCCGCCUGGGAACGCGCGCUCCCCCGUGGCCCGAGGCGUGGACGCGCGGACGGCUCGGGCGCGGCCGCGUCCUCCAGUCUCGGGCGAAGUCUUCGUGGCCUCCUGCGGGGACGCGCUGGGGCCCCCGCCCGCCGGCUCCGCCAGGGACCUCGGGGGCGGCACCGGGCGGGAGAACUGGGGGGUGGAAGGACCGGGGGGCGGGGCCAGGACGGGGCGGGGCCCGUGGGCGGGGCCUCGCGCCGGCUCCGGACUGCCCGGCCGCCGGAGGCUGGAAGAUGCUUCUCUCCGGGCUGUCGCAGCCGUGUGCAAGGACGUGGCCUUCCUCGCUGCGGUGGACAACGGGCACAUCCCUCUUCACCAGUCUUCACUGCGAACCUUUCUUGGCCGUUUUCAGAAGUCUUUCAGUAUUAUCUUUGA
rnacentral:lncRNA from 1 species